rnacentral:rRNA from 1 species
UACAGAGGUUGCGAGCGUUAAUCGGAAUUACUGGGCGUAAAGCGCGCGUAGGCGACUUUGCAAGUCGGAUGUGAAAUCCCCAGGCUUAACCUGGGAACUGCAUUCGAGACUGCAUUGCUAGAGUAUGGGAGAGGGAAGUGGAAUUUCCGGUGUAGCGGUGAAAUGCGUAGAUAUCGGAAGGAACAUAAGUGGCGAAAGCGACUUCCUGGACCAAUACUGACGCUCAUGUGCGAAAGCGUGGGGAGCAAACAGG